rnacentral:rRNA from 1 species
CCUACGGGUGGCUGCAGUGGGGAAUAUUGGUCAAUGGGCGAGAGUCUGAACCAGCGAAGUAGCGUGAGGGAUGAAGGCCCUAGGGGUGGUAAGCUUCUUUUAUAGAGAAAUAAAACGAGGCACGUGUGCCUUUUUGCAUGUCCUUUAUGAUUCAGGAUGGGCUAACUCCGUGCCAGCAGCCGCGGUAAUACGGAGGUACCGAGCGUUAUCCGGAUUUAGUGGGUUUAAAGGGAGCGUAGAUGGGAUGGUAAGUCAGUUGUGAAUGUUGGGGGCUCAACCGUAAAACUUCAAUUGACACUGGCAGUCUGGAGUACAGGUGAGGUAGGCGGAAUUCGUGGUGUAGCGGUGAAAUGCGUAGAUAUCACGAAGAACUCCGAUUGCGAAGGCAGUUCACUGGACUGUAACUGACACUGAGGCUCGAAAGUGUGGGUAUCAAACAGGAUUAGAUACCCCUGUAGUC